rnacentral:rRNA from 2 species
GAGUUUGAUUAUGGCUCAGGAUGAACGCUGGCGGCGUGCUUAACACAUGCAAGUCGAGCGGAGUUUACAAUGGAAAGAUCUUCGGAAAUGGAAGCUGUAAACUUAGCGGCGGACGGGUGCGUAACGCGUGGGUAAUCUGCCCCUAUCAUCGGGAUAACACAUCGAAAGAUGUGCUAAUACCGAAUAACAUACUUUUUUGGCAUCAAGAGAGUAUCAAAGUGUUAGCGGAUAGGGAUGAGCCUGCGUCUGAUUAGCUAGUUGGUGGGGUAAAGGCCUACCAAGGCGACGAUCAGUAGCCGACCUGAGAGGGUGAUCGGCCACACUGGAACUGAGACACGGUCCAGACUCCUACGGGAGGCAGCAGUGGGGAAUAUUGCACAAUGGGCGCAAGCCUGAUGCAGCAAUCGCCGCGUGAGCGAAGAAGGUCUUCGGAUCGUAAAGCUCUGUCGCAUGGGAAGAUAAUGA